rnacentral:lncRNA from 1 species
GAUCAUUGAGAAGCUUAAUAUUCCCUUUACAACACAACGUAAUUAAAACGUUAAGCUGACUUUACAGAGUUAUCUCCCUGUAGUGUUAGGUACCACCUUUAUGAGUUUAAAAUCUUAGCUGAGCGUCGACAAACUGAAAUAAAGAUAAUAACAUUGUUGACGAAUAGUUCAUAAGGUUACAAAUUCGUUCAGAUUUUAAAACACUUUCCCCGAAUCAUUUUUUUGUAGUACAAUAUUUACAUGCCAAUAAAAAGUACAAACCGAAAACGCUCCUGUAACACAUUUACGGCUAAUUUUCAUACACAGUAGUUCUUGACCGAUUUAAAUACUGACAAGAAGGCGGACAACUAUGACUUUUAUCGAAUUAUUCUUCGACAUGUUUAUUUACCAUUUAAAAUGUAUUUACUCAUUUAGUAAAGUGACAAUCCCUUAAAAAGAAAAUUAUCUUCUUACCGGAACAUACACGUGUUUUGUAAAGGUAUUGCAUAGGUUACAUUUAUUUAUAGAUAGAGUACUUUAAAUUAGUAUCUCAUUCAUAACUGAUAACCUUGUAUUAAAAUAUUUGUCAUUUUUUAUUUAAACGUUGACACGGAAGUCAUCUUUAGCAAAUAUUUUAAUUCAAUUUGAAUUCACGACUAUUGACUACCUGGUUUUUACGUUUUUGUCAUUUAAAAAAAAGUGUGCACAAGGAAGUGACAUUUUUGAGUAUAUGUUUUAUUUCAAUUUGAAUUCUUCAAUUAAACAGCUUUCAUGUAUCACUUUCAAAUAAUCUUCAAUUACAAGAAUAAGCGUAUCUCAAUUUUUUUAAAUCAUUGUGUAUAUAUGUUUUCAAAUAAUCUUCAAAAGGAUCCACGAUAUUCAAUUUUGAGUGAGAAAACUACCAGUCUUGCUUUAUAACACUUAUACCCAAUUGAACCAUCUAAUUUGGUAAGACCUAUUUUGUUUUAGGUCGGUUUUCUACUUAUGUACGUACUGUUUUGAUAACCGUAUUGUGUAAUCUUUAUUGUGAAAACAAAUACAAGAAAUCUUCCCGUGAUUCUUAUUGACUGUGUAUCAUUACCACAAGAUAUAUGUACACUUGGCCUGGUUCUUUGUUCAUUGUCUAAGAAAAACAACAUUACUGUACCAAUACAAAAAAAUUAUAAUACACAUUGUUUUUGAAAAUUUAAUAUUAAACUUUUUUUCAUUUAAAAUGUUUCAUAUUGAUAUUUGUGCAAAAACGUUUUUCAGAAAAAAAAAAUGAAAAAGAGGGGAGAUUCAUGAGCAUAAAAAGACUUCUAAAGUGUCAUCAUCAAUAAAAAUAAAUAUCCAAG